rnacentral:rRNA from 1 species
UACGAAGGGGGCUAGCUUUGUUCGGAAUUACUGGGCGUAAAGCGCGUGUAGGCGGUUCUUUAAGUCAGGGGUGAAAUGCCAAGGCUCAACCUUGGAACUGCCUUUGAUACUGGAGACCUUGAGUCCGGGAGAGGUGAGUGGAAUUGCGAGUGUAGAGGUGAAAUUCGUAGAUAUUCGCAAGAACACCAGUGGCGAAGGCGGCUCACUGGCCCGGAACUGACGCUGAGACGCGAAAGCGUGGGGAGCAAACAGG